rnacentral:rRNA from 1 species
AGUCUACCAUGCAAGUCGGACGGUAGCACAGAGGAGCUUGCUCCUUGGGUGACGAGUGGCGGACGGGUGAGUAAUGUCUGGGGAUCUGCCCGAUAGAGGGGGAUAACCACUGGAAACGGUGGCUAAUACCGCAUAACGUCGCAAGACCAAAGAGGGGGACCUUCGGGCCUCUCACUAUCGGAUGAACCCAGAUGGGAUUAGCUAGUAGGCGGGGUAAUGGCCCACCUAGGCGACGAUCCCUAGCUGGUCUGAGAGGAUGACCAGCCACACUGGAACUGAGACACGGUCCAGACUCCUACGGGAGGCAGCAGUGGGGAAUAUUGCACAAUGGGCGCAAGCCUGAUGCACCCAUGCCGCGUGUAUGAAGAAGGCCUUCGGGUUGUAAAGUACUUUCAGCGGGGAGGAAGGCGAUGCGGUUAAUAACCGCGUCGAUUGACGUUACCCGCAAAAGAAGCACCGGCUAACUCCGUGCCAGCAGCCGCGGUAAUACGGAGGGUGCAAGCGUUAAUCGGAAUUACUGGGCGUAAAGCGCACGCAGGCGGUCUGUUAAGUCAGAUGUGAAAUCCCCGGGCUUAACCUGGGAACUGCAUUUGAAACUGGCAGGCUUGAGUCUUGUAGAGGGGGGUAGAAUUCCGGGUGUAGCGGUGAAAUGCGUAAAA